CGCGGGACGGAAAGAGAGCGCGAGAGGAAGAGAGCGACCGGUGAGUUGAUCCAGGUUUUCCCAUCUCUCUAUUUGUUUCUCUUCCCUCUGUUUCUGUAUCAUCUUUUUGGUUUCUUUGAGAAGCUUCUCUCUUCCUCUUCUUCUCGCCUCUUGAUCUCUCGCUGCCGAGGUUUGGGGACGAGAAGAAAGAGAUGAGGAGCUCCCUAGAAGCCUCGGAAGUGUCCGGAUUGGCGCUUGGAGCGUUUUCCGAUUGGUGGAUGGAGAUCAAUGAGUCGCCGCAGUGGCAGGAUGGGGUGUUCUACUUUCUCUGCGCCGCCUAUGCCCUCGUCUCCGCCGUCGCGCUGAUACAACUCAUCCGAAUACAGCUGCGAGUGCCUGAAUUUGGUUGGACAACUCAGAAGGUUUUCCAUUUUAUGAAUGUCAUCGUAAAUGGAGCACGUGCGGUUGUGUUUGGAUUUCACUCACAAGUUUUUCUUUUCAAACCUAAAGUAUUUACUUUAGCACUAUUAGACCUUCCUGGGUUAUUAUUUUUCUCUACAUACACGCUGCUUGUUCUAUUCUGGGCAGAGAUAUAUCACCAGGCCAGGAGUCUUUCGACAGACAAGCUAAGGACUGUUUACAUCUCUAUCAAUAGUGGGAUUUACAUUAUUCAGGUUGGUAUAUGGACAUACCUCUGGGUAAACGACAAUAGUGUUGUGGAGUUAAUUGGAAAGAUCUUCAUAGUAGUGGUAUCAUUCAUAGCUGCUCUUGGAUUCUUGGUAUAUGGGGGAAGGCUAUUUUUCUUGCUGAGGCGUUUCCCUAUUGAAUCAAAAGGGAGAAGAAAGAAGCUUCAUGAGAUCAUUGUGAAGGAUAUGGGUUAUCAACUUGUGCAUGCAAACAUACUAAAAGGAAACAAGUAUAUAAAAUACUUGUAGCCAUAAUUUGCAGAUGUAAUCACUUGACUAAGCAAUUAGUCUUUUUUUUCUCUUCAUUUUGCAGAGGUUGGAUCGGUUACUGCAAUAUGCUUCACCUGCUUCCUUAUAAGAUGCACUGUGGUUGGGUUAUCUGCGUUCUAUCCUGAUGCAUCUCUUGAGGUUUUGGAUCACCCCAUUUUGGACCUCAUCUAUUACACACUGACUGAGAUAGUUCCAUCGACGCUUGUUCUAUACAUACUCCGCAAACUUCCUCCAAAACGAGUGUCAGCGCAAUACCGCCCUAUCCGCUAGUGUCAUUGAACAUCUGCAACAAGGAUGUUAGAUCUACUGAACUGUUCGUGGCAUGGUUGGAAUUGGUGGCAUCUUAGAUGACAGACUAGAUUUGGUGUCGAGGCUUUCUUCCAUGACUUUGUUUUGUAACUUCGAUGUGUUGUUUUAUGAUAGGUACUAACCAGUCCUCAUAGUAAUAUUAGUUAGGAAAUGUAGUGUUGGAAAUAGCAAACAAUUUUAGAAUAUAAUGGUUUGAGUUAUUUUUAAUAGAUGACGUAUAUAUCUAAUUAUGGAGUGGUAGUUGUCAGCAAGUAUAUUGCUGAAAAUGACAAUUCAAUUUUAGUUAAGUUAGUUCUGGUGAUACAUGUAAAAAGGUUUGUUUUUUUUUUGGGUUAAGAGAAGGUUUGGCUUAUUUGGUAA